UCAGGCAUCAAACAACAGUUGGAAAAGUUUCACAAAGUAAACAAUGGUAGAACCAGAGCAGAGUAAACAAAGCGCAGAGCAAUAACCAAAAAUAGAGAAAAAACAAGCAUGCAGCAAGCAAGGAAAGAAGCCCUCGGCGCAACUAGAAAGACCACCGGCAACAACAACUAGAGACAGGAAAAGCCGCAGAACCCAACCAGAACACGGCCAACAGGAGCGAUACUCACUGAACGCAUUGGUGUAAUCCCGAUAUGAUGACGUCACUUGCCAUAAAAUUCCUUCUCAGUCACUCACUGAAACCAUAACCCUCAAUGCAGGUCCAAUAUGCAACUCCCUCCCAGUGAAACUAAAAUCUUGAAAACAGCAAAAUAAAACACCGCAAAACAAAAGGCAGAAGAAAACGACACCAUCUCGUCGAGGGAGAAGACUGAAGGGAUGAGACACCCUAAAACAAAAAAAGGCCUAAAAAAAGCUCCCCUCCCAUGCCUAUAAGCAGGGGAGACGAAACCAAUCCCAACAGAGACGAAAGCAAAAUCAAAUCGGUACUCAAACAAAGCCUUUGGUCUAUCGUUCAAUGAUC
rnacentral:lncRNA from 1 species